rnacentral:rRNA from 1 species
AGUAACGCGUGAGUAACCUGCCUUCAANAGGGGGAUAACAUUCUGAAAAGGAUGCUAAUACCGCAUGAUAUAUCGGAACCACAUGGUCUUGAUAUCAAAGAUUUUAUCGCUUGAAGAUGGACUCGCGUCCGAUUAGUUUGUUGGUGAGGUAACGGCUCACCAAGACCGCGAUCGGUAGCCGGACUGAGAGGUUGAACGGCCACAUUGGGACUGAGACACGGCCCAGACUCCUACGGGAGGCAGCAUG